AUCUAACUAGCACCCGGAUCUUAUGCUUUACACCGGUGAGUUCUUGGUUAUCACCUAACUCCAUAGAAUCUUUCGAAAGUCAUAUUUAUGCAUCUUAUUGAGAAAAAAGCCCUUCCAUUUCUUUGAUGCACCACUAUAUGCUAAUGAAACCUUCUUUGUAAGCACUGAUUUAUCCGACUUUCUUUGCUGCACACGACUACUCCGUCUUCACUGUUGCUUGAGCGACAACCACGUUGCAUCCUAACCUUCUGGCUUCUUAGGUGCCAAAGACCGAUGACUAGUGAACCGACUCCUGGUCUACAUGAGUACGACAACAAAUCCUCGAGUCAGACAACUCAUCUUCUGGUAAAGUGGACGAAAAGAGUCAUCUAUAUCUUGACCUACAUCCCGAGGUACUCAUAGAAUAGGCUAAAGCCCCUGAUACUUUGGGAGACCAUGACAGGCCAUCGCUUUAUCUUUCCUUUUAUUUGCACCUUCCUACAUACUAUGCUCUAGGCCUCCUCUUGUUAUGCCUCAGGUCCCGAUCCCGGAUCAAGAUCAUCGAUCUCCACCUUUAUUCGUAUCAUCAUAUCCAUAUUCAUCUUAAACCUAGGGAUCCCUACAUGAGAUCUUCUUCUAUUCAAGAGAAAGACCAUGCGCUACCAAUAUAUAUUCAGGGUUAUUCAUACAGAGAUAUUGUACUGGAAUAAUGGGCUAUGCCUAAACCUAGGCUACUGCUUUGAAAAACAGGCAAGCUAAAUGGAAAAGGAAGAGGCCGGUUACGAACCAAU
rnacentral:lncRNA from 1 species